CACAACGAUUCACCGGUACGUAUGCUAUGAGUCAUAGAUUUUGUCACUGUUGAUCACAUUUACUUAAAGGUCGUUUGGACUCCGCCCAAGUCUCAUGUACUGAGGAAAGAGGUUCACUCAACUUCUGUUCUUCCGAUGUAAAAUUAGCUAGCUUGUUAACAAUAGCAGCCCAAUUUCUCAAAAACUGUAAAUCUACCAUCUCUGAUUGCACCAGACUGCUGCUCACGGACAGAAGAGAUGGACUUCAACGACCAAUAUCCAGGUAGAUGAACCUCCUUCUUAUUAGCUCUUCCACUCCCAAAGACCCAGCUGAGCCAGCCUCCACUGUUAUUGUGAACA
ensembl:lncRNA